rnacentral:lncRNA from 1 species
AGUCUUCUUUACAAAGCAAAGAGAUGACUACUACUGGGAAAAAUCUGUUUACAAAGAAGACUGAAAAGGGGAAAGAGUUCCCAUCUAUAUGGAGAGAAAGAAAUAGAGAAUUGCACUGUGAAGCAGGGAUGAGCUGAAAGCAAAUCAAAAAGGUCUCUUAAAGAGAUCACCAUUCUCUUUCAGCAAAGCAGGACAAUGUAUUAAAUAAAACUGCUCUUAACCUGUUGGGCA